rnacentral:rRNA from 1 species
CCUACGGGAGGCAGCAGUGGGGAAUUUUGGACAAUGGGCGAAAGCCUGAUCCAGCAAUGCCGCGUGAGUGAAGAAGGCCUUCGGGUUGUAAAGCUCUUUUGUCAGGGAAGAAACGGUGAGAGCUAAUAUCUCUUGCUAAUGACGGUACCUGAAGAAUAAGCACCGGCUAACUACGUGCCAGCAGCCGCGGUAAUACGUAGGGUGCAAGCGUUAAUCGGAAUUACUGGGCGUAAAGCGUGCGCAGGCGGUUUUGUAAGUCUGAUGUGAAAUCCCCGGGCUCAACCUGGGAAUUGCAUUGGAGACUGCAAGGCUAGAAUCUGGCAGAGGGGGGUAGAAUUCCACGUGUAGCAGUGAAAUGCGUAGAUAUGUGGAGGAACACCGAUGGCGAAGGCAGCCCCCUGGGUCAAGAUUGACGCUCAUGCACGAAAGCGUGGGGAGCAAACAGGAUUAGAUACCCUGGUAGUCCACGCCCUAAACGAUGUCUACUAGUUGUCGGGUCUUAAUUGACUUGGUAACGCAGCUAACGCGUGAAGUAGACCGCCUGGGGAGUACGGUCGCAAGNUUAAAACGUCAAAGGAAUUGACCGGNNGAGAGNGCGAGGACGACGACGAGGGGAGGAGG